GACGAACGCUGACGGUGUGCUUUAGACAUGCAAGUCGAGCGAGAAAGCCCUUCGGGGUUAGUAAAGCGGCGAACGGGUGAGUAACACGUGGGCAAUCUGCCCCUCGCAGGGGGACAACCGGGGGAAACUCCGGCUAAUACCCCGUAAGUUUCCAGAGUCGCAUGGCUUUGGAAAGAAAGGUAGCUUCGGCCAUCCGGCGAGGGAUGAGCCCCGCGGUACAUUAGCUAGUUGGUGGGGUAACGGCCUACCAAGGCGGCGAUGUAUAGCUGGUCUGAGAGGAUGAUCAGCCACACUGGGACUGAGACACGGCCCAGACUCCUACGGGAGGCAGCAGUCGGGAAUCUUGCACAAUGGG
rnacentral:rRNA from 1 species